rnacentral:rRNA from 1 species
GACAGAGGUGGCAAGCGUUGUUCGGAUUUACUGGGCGUAAAGAGUGCGUAGGUGGUGAGGUAAGACCUGUGGGAAAGACCUGGGCUUAACCCAGGAAGGUCGCAAGUGACUGCCUCGCUUGAGGACGGGAGAGGAGAGCGGAAUUCCCGGUGUAGCGGUGAAAUGCGUAGAUAUUGGGAGGAACACCGGUGGCGAAGGCGGCCCCCUGGGCUGGUACUGACGCUGAUGCGCGAAAGCGUGGGUAGCAAACGGG